rnacentral:lncRNA from 1 species
CCAAAACCAUUUAAAAUUAAUAAUUAGUUAAUGUAAAAGAUAGAUCAUGGUUUUCUCUUGUUCACAUAUCAUUAAAGCUAAAUUUUGAUAGAUUAAUUAAGAGGGAAAGGUGAAUAUGUAUGAUCCACGACGCAACCGUUUGGAAUCACGGCGGUGAGAGAAGAAGACAGAUUUCCAUGUCUCGUGCUGUGACAGAAUGGGGAGGUUUCUGGGAUUCUGAAAGGUUCGAGCAAGACGGC